rnacentral:misc_RNA from 1 species
GAUGAAGAACGUAGCGAAAUGCGAUACUUGGUGUGAAUUGCAGAAUCCCGUGAACCAUCGAGUCUUUGAACGCAAGUUGCGCCCGAAGCCGUCAGGCCGAGGGCACGCCUGCCUGGGCGUCACACGCCGUUGCCCCCCCGCGCCCCGCACCCAACUCUUUGGGAGCGACCGCGGGGCGGGCUGAUGAUGGCCUCCCGUGCGCUCCGCCGCGCGGUUGGCCCAAAUACCGAGUCCCCGGCGACGUGCGCCACGACGAUCGGUGGUUGAGAGACCUCUGUCGCAAGUCGUGCGCGCCCGUCGCGUCACGCGGGCUCGCAUAGCGCCUCGCGCCGCACCCGGUGCGGAGCUUUCAACGCGACCCCAGGUCAGGCGGGGUUACCCGCUGAAUUUCAGCAUAUCAAUAAGCGGAGGA